GAAGGAGGAUAGAAUCACUUCCACAAUCAGAGAAAGUGUAGCGGUAACAUGUUGUGUAGAUACCAAAGCCGAGACUUCAUCUGCUAAAUGAAACUUAUUUAACAGGAGUAAAAAAUUCCAGGAGGGCUGAAUUCUGCCUUGCAUGCAGGAUCCUCUUUACUUCUUUUUCCAAGGUUCUCUUGUGUCAGCAUUUUGAGACUUCAUGGCAUAAGGUGGGACGUAUUUGUACCAGGAAGUACGUGACGAGAAAUGGAAAGCCGUAGACCAGGAAUCCGUGGGCAGUCAGGGAAAGA
rnacentral:lncRNA from 1 species